AACAGCCACAGCUUCGGCGGCGGCGGCGGCGACCCAAGGGCUGUGCCACCUUUCCAGCUGUUUCCACAUCUGCUCAGGCAUCCCCAGCCCUAGCGACUAGCCCACCCCACAGUCUCCUGCCUCCUAGGCUGCACUACAGCGGAUCAGAGGGAUCCUCUCUAACGCUAACAGAGAAAAACUGACCCCUCCUUCUCUCCUCCUCCUCCUAAGCUGUGAGUCUGUGGGCCUGGCCAGAUUGCUGGAAUGAGGAGGCCCCUCUGUGGCCUGCAAUGGAGUUUACCCACCUGGGAAAAUUCACUUAGUUCAAGCCAUCAAGCUAAAGGAGGAACACAGGUCUAGACGCAGCAGGUGUCGAUAACUUGGACGUGACAGAACACUCUGACCCCGAACCAGCUGAGAUAUUUCCUCUGGACAUCAGUCAUGGGGACCACAAGAGGCUGAGCAUCGCAAAUAAGGAAGUGGAAUCCCAGAAUCCGUGCCAGAGUGCAGGCAGGUCACUGGGGUAGGCAGGCGGCUGGGUGAGUCACAGGAGGGAUAUAAAACUGACUUCCCUUUGUGGGUGCCUUCAUUCACGUCUUCGCCAGACAGGAAAGGGGGGAGGAAAAAUCUCUGAGAAGGAAAUCCUUAAGGACGGAAUAUACUCACGCUUCAAAAUGAAUGACUAGAGCCAACAUAAAGCCUCAGGUGGUCCCCUUGCAAUCUACCUUUGCCAUACGUGACAAACCAGAUGUCAGCCAGAUGUGUCGGAUCACACCCACUCGUCACACCACCCAUUCUCCAUGAGGCGGAAGGGAGAUGGCCAUCCAGGAAAACCAUCCACCAGAACUAAGGGUAGCAGAGCCAAUGGCCCUUCUCUAUGCUACUGGAAUAUUUUUCUGGUCUCUGCUACAUUUAACAUCUCCUACCUGUUAUCCAAGCAUACUGUGGGCCAAAGUCUGACCUGUUCAGUAUAGGCUAGUGCUCCUGACUGUACUUCUGUCCCAAGAGGGGCUGCUUGGGGUUCUAGUGGACAGACGCAAAAGGACCAAAGUGGUUCCUGCCUGGAGGAAAGUCCCCAUCCUUGACCUGUUCUGAAUCUAUGUCAAAGCCCGCUCCCCACUCCGCAGGUUCUUCCCAAUGCCUUGAGCGACCUCCACAGUUAGCCCAAGUGCACCUGGUGAGCCCAGAUCUCCAUCCCAAAGUGACUCAUCCGGUCAUCCAUGCCAAAUUUGUUCCGAAUCCUCCAGCUCUUACUUGGCUUGAGAAGAACCAGGGUUAGAAAGAAAAACAUUUUCAGUCUGGAUUUGGUCAACAAAGCUCUCAGCACUGGUACUUCAUCCGGAGACACUUGGGCCGACGGUGCAUUCCCAUAACUUUCCUUUCUCUUCUUUUCUGGCUUUUCCCUCCAAGUUUCCAAUGCUUUGCAUUCUUACAUCUGCAGGCACCCUAACAGCACCGUGUCUCGAAGCACACUGUGUAUCUGAACCAUUUACUUAGCUGGUUAAAGGUGUAAGCGUCAGAGGAUCUAAAGCACUCGGCAGGCAAAGGCAGGUGGAUCUCUGUGGGUUCGAGGCCAGCCUGGUCUACAGAGCACAUUCCAGAACAGCUGGGGCUACACAGAAAAACCCUGUCUCAGAAGAGAGAGACAGAGAAAAUAUUCCUUAUCUUGAUGGUUUGGGGUGCCAGAGAGAUGGCUCUGUGGUUAGAAGCAUGCAUUGCUCUUGCCAAGAACCUGAAUUUGGUUCCCUGGCGCCCAACUCAUGUAGCCACAACCACCUGUGACUCCAGCUCCCAGUGACCUGCAUUCAACCAUGCACAUAUGCAAAUACACAUACACACAUAACUAAAAAAAUAAAACCUUUUAA